CUGCACAAGUAUGGGCUUUAAAAGCAAUUCAAUCUGCUUGGAGAAAGUAUAAGAAUUGGUUGAAGAAAAAACACUAGGUACCCUAUGCCAAUGACGAACUUCGAAUGGAAAAAAGGCCCGGAUAUGUUCCACAAUCUCAUUUUAAGGAUCUCCUUGAAUACUGGAACUCCGAAAAAUCUCAGAAAAUGUCCAAAACUAAUACAGAGAAUCGUAAAAAGUUGAGGUAUCCGCAUACUAUUGGCAAAAAAAGCUUUGCUAUAAUUCGCGAGGAAAAAAAGAAUGAAGGUCCUGAUGCUGUGACGAAUAAGGCCAUCUUUGUGGCUACAAGAAAGAGGAAACUGGGGUCGAGUAUACAAGGACUCAUAUGAAGAUACGAUUAGGAAAAUAUUACGAAACUUUCUAAUAUAAAGUUUAUCGAGAUCAUUUGUUUGUUCUUAAAUGUUGGAUCAGUUUGAUAUACUUAAACUCUCUACUCUUGAAUCUGAUUUGUAGGCUAAAAUGGAAAGAAUAUAAACUCAAGAAAGCGAAGAUGAAAGUCAAUCAGUUGAUGCAUUUGCCUCAGUUAUAGGACCAGAUCAUCUAGGCCAUGUAAGAUUGUAUAGGCGUGGGAUUACCAAAAUUGUCUUGAAAGGGAAAGUGGGAGAUUCUGGACCCUCUUUAAAUGGUACUGAUGAAGCAAAAAAUGGAGGAGAUAGAAGCGAGGAUGCAAAAAAUGUAGGAAAAAUUCGAUGCACAAACGGAGGUGAUGGAACAAGGUAUUACAAUGAACGUCAUUGUACAACUUCAGCUUCUAAACCCAGACUUAGUACUUGAUCCUAGCAUGCUAAGAUUCAGUAUUCGUUCGCGGGGAGAAGCUGCUAGUAGUAACAACUAAGGUGUUGAAAAUGAAGAAAUGGAAGGUGAU